CCUCCUUAUUCGCGAGACCGGCUGGAGGCGGAGCUGCUUCCCCACUGGUCUUUGCCUGAACUCUCCAGCCCCGCCUGCACUACACUCUCCAGCAGAGACAGGUAAGGAAGUAGAACCUGUACACCUCUGGAAUACAAAUGCAAAAACCUGCGAGGAACCCUAGUGCACAGCUGCAACUGGGACAGCAAGAAAAAGGCACCCCAUGCAGUCCUAUAGGGAAACUGAUCUGGAAAGCAGCCCCACCCCUCCAUUCAGAGCCUUCAAUCAAUUUAUAAGAUGAGAAAUGGAAGCUCACAUCUCCCUGAAGUCUCAUCCUCUGUGGAAGCCCGUGGACAGACAGGUAGUGCUUGAAAAUCCUGGUGCUUGCUGCAUGGAAAGAAACUCAAUCAAUUAAAUUUAUAAUGGUAAUAACUGAGUUUGCAGUCAUGGCCAAUGUCCUCUGAAUACAACUAUCAGUCUCUGCUAAAGAUCUUACCAUAUAAAUAAAAGGCAACAGGCAGAUAUGACAGACAAAUUGGAGCACAAGAAAACAAUGUUUUAAUACUAAUGGGCUAACAGCAGGCUGGCUCAGCAUAUCAGCUCCCUGACUAUGGUCAGAUUUUUAAAGCAAUUCUGUUGGUGCUCUGUAUGAGAUAAGAAGGGAAAAGGAAAUGCUUUUAUGUUAAUUAAUGCCAGUGCCUACUUUAAUUUGGCUUUUGGAAAGUAGCACUCUUUAUCAUGUAUACCCUAUUUACUCUGUCAUAGAUCCAUAGCAUGGAGCUACCACAAUUUUAAUCCAAAUAAACGAACAGCAAAAGGGUUUUUGUGCACAUUCAGUUCCUAAAUAUUAAUAGCUUAACCAUUUGAAAAUUGAAUAAUAGAAGUAGAUGGCUUUGAGGAAGAGGGAAUAGUGUGGGAGCUGUUGGUUUGGCCCUGUCUCAGGUCAGCAGUAACCAAAAGCUAUUGCUCUCUGAUGAGUAGGUUACACAUUUAUAAUAAAUGAGGCAGUGAGUUCAUCCAAAUUCUUAAUGAGGAAAUAUUCACAUACUGCACUCUGGGAACAACUCUGGGCAUUUCAUAUGGAAGAUAGAUGACAGCAGGGUCCAAUGAGACUGAUGUCCACAUAUUCUGAACUCCUCUUUGAUUAGAUUGAACUUCAUUGCUUGAGUAUUACAGAAAUCAUGUCAAUGUAUGUACCAGUUUCAGAGUGCAUAGCUUUCCUAUCUGUCCCUAGAAUUUUACAGACAUUCCCUUACUUAUUGAUGCCAUUUGCGGUUUAACUUUCUCCUGUGUUCUUUUUACUUGUGCAAAUGAAGCAUUCUCUUUGCCACUUCACAAGUGCUGGUGACUUUCAUGCACCCUGUGUGUCAUUAUGCCUUUCAGGUAGUUAUCAUUCUAUUUUUAAAAAAAGUUUUCAUUUAUAUACAUUACAACAAUUAUUUAACCAUAAUUUUAACAUUUU